rnacentral:rRNA from 1 species
GAUGAACGCUGGCGGCGUGCCUAAUACAUGCAAGUCGAGCGAACGGACGAGAAGCUUGCUUCUCUGAUGUUAGCGGCGGACGGGUGAGUAACACGUGGAUAACCUACCUAUAAGACUGGGAUAACUUCGGGAAACCGGAGCUAAUACCGGAUAAUAUUUUGAACCGCAUGGUUCAAAAGUGAAAGACGGUCUUGCUGUCACUUAUAGAUGGAUCCGCGCUGCAUUAGCUAGUUGGUAAGGUAACGGCUUACCAAGGCAACGAUGCAUAGCCGACCUGAGAGGGUGAUCGGCCACACUGGAACUGAGACACGGUCCAGACUCCUACGGGAGGCAGCAGUAGGGAAUCUUCCGCAAUGGGCGAAAGCAUGACGGAGCAACGCCGCGUGAGUGAUGAAGGUCUUCGGAGCGUAAAACUCUGUUAUUAGGGAAGAACAUAUGUGUAAGUAACUGUGCACAUCUUGACGGUACCUAAUCAGAAAGCCACGGCUAACUACGUG